rnacentral:rRNA from 1 species
CGAGCGAACAGAUGAAGUGCUUUGCACUUCUGACGUUAGCGGCGAACGCCCCGAGUAACACGUAAGGAAUCUACCUAUAAGCGGGGGAUAACAUUCGGAAACGGGUGCUAAUACCGCAUAAUAUCUUCUUCCGCAUGGAAGAAGAUUGAAAGACGGCUCUGCUGUCACUUAUAGAUGACCUUGCGGUGCAUUAGUUAGUUGGUGGGGUAACGGCCUACCAAGACGAUGAUGCAUAGCCGACCUGAGAGGGUGAUCGGCCACAUUGGGACUGAGACACGGCCCAAACUCCUACGGGAGGCAGCAGUAGGGAAUCUUCCGCAAUGGGCGAAAGCCUGACUGAGCAAUGCCGCGUGAGUGAAGAAGGCCUUCGGGUCGUAAAACUCUGUUAUAAGAGAAGAACAAAUUGUAAAGUAACUGCUACAGUCAUGACGGUAUCUUAUCAGAAAGCCACGGCUAACUACGUGCCAGCAUCCGCGGUAAUACGUAGGUGGCAAGCGUUGUCCGGAUUUAUUGGGCGUAAAGGGAGCGCAGGUGGUUUCUUAAGUCUGAUGUGAAAGCCCACGGCUUACCGUGGAGGGUCAUUGGAAACUGGGAACCUUGAGUACAGAUGAGGAUU